rnacentral:lncRNA from 1 species
AGAGAAUACUGUAUCCGAGUUCCUCAAUCCUUACCUAAACUCCUACAGUCAGUGAAAUGGAAUGAACGGGAGUAUGUAGCUCAACUGUACAUGUUGUUACGGAGAUGGCCCCGAUUGAUGCCAGAGUUUGCCAUGGAGCUGCUUGAUUGUUCUUACCCAGAUCUGUGUGUGCGUCAGUAUGCUGUUACUUGUCUGGACCAUGGAUUCUCUGAUGAUAAAUUACAACAU